rnacentral:sRNA from 12 species
AUCCUAUACAGAUGUAUUCAACGCAAGCCAGUUGGGCAUCUCCCUGUAGGAUGAAGUUUAAUUAGAAACUCUGGCAACAAUUCUCAUUGUGUGGCUCUACGGUCGAAAUGGGAUGAGUUAGGGUGGAAUAGGUUAACCGUAAGACCUUGAGUUGCAAGACUCUAAAAUUGACCUAGAGGUGUGGAUUUCUUAAUUUUCGCAUUUUCUAGUUACGGCAUA